AGUGAACGCUGGCGGCAGGCCUAACACAUGCAAGUCGAACGGCAGCACAAGAGAGCUUGCUCUCUGGGUGGCGAGUGGCGGACGGGUGAGGAAUGCAUCGGAAUCUGCCCAUUUGUGGGGGAUAACCUCGGGAAACCGGGACUAAUACCGCAUACGACCUACGGGUGAAAGCAGGGGAUCUUCGGACCUUGCGCAGAUGGAUGAGCCGAUGCCGGAUUAGCUAGUUGGAGGGGUAAAGGCCCACCAAGGCGACGAUCCGUAGCUGGUCUGAGAGGAUGAUCCGCCAACAUGGGACCUGAGAACGGCCCAGACUCCGAAGGGAGGCAGGAGUGGGGAAUAUUGGACAAUGGGCGCAAGCCUGAUCCAGCCAUGCCGCGUGUGUGAAGAAGGCCUUCGGGUUGUAAAGCACUUUUGUUGGGAAAGAAAAGCAGCCGGUUAAUACCCGGUUGUCAUGACGGUACCCAAAGAAUAAGCACCGGCUAACUUCGUG
rnacentral:rRNA from 1 species